rnacentral:lncRNA from 1 species
AUUCAUUUGUAGGUUUGACUGCCUGGUUUAUGUGGAGGUCACACCAAAGAAAGAUGUCUUGGCAGUCCAGGAGGAGGUCCAAUGGCGUCUCAAACCACCAUACCACCAUGACAAAGUUGUUGUGAAGGCAGACCCUGGAUCCAUAAUUGUUAAUUCUGUUGGUAGGUGGAGAAGCCUCUUGAUAUAUUUAAGGCUGACAUCAGUUUCUAAUAUUAAACCACUUUUUUCAAACUUAAGUGUUUCCCUCAGCCAUGGCUUUCUAUAACAGUUCCCUUUUUGAUCAUAGAGCUUAACCUGGCGGUUAUAAUGAUUAGUCUUUAUGUCUUAUAUGUUUUUUUAACUCAUUUUUCUAUAUGGACAGAGAUGUUUCCCACUGGUAGUCUUCCACAUACAACUGGUCCUCCAGCCCUCUCUACUGCUUUUACCACAGCUGAGCUGCCAUUAUGCCCUUCUGUGGCAGUAUUGGCCUCCUCAGUCGCAAUGGAAACUCCUGAUGAAUGUAGCCCUGACUACACAGAGGGGUGUAAGUAACUAAACAACGAUCUUUACACAG